rnacentral:rRNA from 1 species
AAAUGCAGUCGAGCGAAUGGAUUAAGAGCUUGCUCUUAUGAAGUUAGCGGCGGACGGGUGAGUAACACGUGGGUAACCUACCCAUAAGACUGGGAUAACUCCGGGAAACCGGGGCUAAUACCGGAUAAUAUUUUGAACUGCAUAGUUCGAAAUUGAAAGGCGGCUUCGGCUGUCACUUAUGGAUGGACCCGCGUCGCAUUAGCUAGUUGGUGAGGUAACGGCUCACCAAGGCGACGAUGCGUAGCCGACCUGAGAGGGUGAUCGGCCACACUGGGACUGAGACACGGCCCAGACUCCUACGGGAGGCAGCAGUAGGGAAUCUUCCGCAAUGGACGAAAGUCUGACGGAGCAACGCCGCGUGAGUGAUGAAGGCUUUCGGGUCGUAAAACUCUGUUGUUAGGGAAGAACAAGUGCUAGUUGAAUAAGCUGGCACCUUGACGGUACCUAACCAGAAAGCCACGGCUAACUACGUGCCAGCAGCCGCGGUAAUACGUAGGUGGCAAGCGUUAUCCGGAAUUAUUGGGCGUAAAGCGCGCGCAGGUGGUUUCUUAAGUCUGAUGUGAAAGCCCACGGCU